CAAUACGAGCGGCAGACGGGUGAGUAACGCGUGGGAAUCUACCCAUCUCUACGGAACAACUCCGGGAAACUGGAGCUAAUACCGUAUACGUCCUUUUGGAGAAAGAUUUAUCGGAGAUGGAUGAGCCCGCGUUGGAUUAGCUAGUUGGUGGGGUAAUGGCCUACCAAGGCGACGAUCCAUAGCUGGUCUGAGAGGAUGAUCAGCCACACUGGGACUGAGACACGGCCCAGACUCCUACGGGAGGCAGCAGUU
rnacentral:rRNA from 1 species